rnacentral:rRNA from 1 species
CACGGCUCAGUAACAUGUGGCUAACCUGCCCUUAGGACAGAGACAACCCCGGGAAACUGGGGCUAAUCUCUGAUAGGUGUGGAAUUCUGGAAUGAAUCGACACCCAAAAGACGCCUGAAUCAUGCUUUAAACAUCGCCUAAGGAUGGGGCCGCAGCCGAUCAGGUUGUUGGUGAGGUAACGGCUCACCAAGCCUAUAACCGGUACGGGCCGCGGGAGCGGUAGCCCGGAAAUGGACACUGAGAUAAGGGUCCAGGCCCUACGGGGCGCAGCAGUCGCGAAAACUCCACAAUGCGCGAAAGCGCGAUGGGGCUAUCCCGAGUGCCGUCCGCUGAGGAUGGCUUUUCUCCAGUGUAAGGAGCUGGGGGAAUAAGGAGAGGGCAAGACUGGUGUCAGCCGCCGCGGUAAUACCAGCUCUCCGAGUGGUAGGGAUGUUUAUUGGGCCUAAAGCGUCCGUAGCCGGCUCAUCAAGUCCUCCGUUAAAUCCAGCGAUUCAAUCGUUGGGCUGCGGGGGAUACUGUUGGGCUAGGGGACAGGAGAGGCCCACCGUAUUCCCGGAGUAGGGGUGAAAUCCUAUAAUUCCGGGAGGACCAC